AGAGCGGGAGCCCGGAGAUGGGCACUGAGACAAGGGCCCAGGCCCUACGGGGCGCAGCAGUUGCGAAAACUCCGCAAUGCACGAAAGUGUGACGGGGCUACCCCGAGUGCCGUCCGCUGAGGGCGGCUUUUCCCUGGUGUAAGGAGCCGGGGGAAUAAGGAGAGGGCAAGUCUGGUGUCAGCCGCCGCGGUAAUACCAGCUCUCCGAGUGGUAGGGAUGAUUAUUGGGCUUAAAACGUCCGUAGCCGGCCUGGCAAGUCUUCCGUUAAAUCCAACGAUUCAAUCGUUGGACUGCGGGAGAUACUGUUGGGCUAGGGGGCGGGAGAGGCCGACGGUAUUCUCGGGGUAGGGGUAAAAUCCUAUAAUCCCGGGAAGACCACCAGUGGCGAAGGCGGUCGGCU
rnacentral:rRNA from 1 species